ensembl:lncRNA
GUAUAUACUCAGGCUGUGGACACCAGCAUGUAUCCGUGCAUCCCCCAUUAGGACAUGUGGCCCAUCUAGGAUGACUGGCAGCUAAGGAACAGGAAUGAGUGUGUACACGCCGGCUCCAGACCUCAUCCAGGUGUUCUCAUUAGACGCCGAGUCCAGGUGAUUCCCCUCUCACCCCUAUCCUGCUCACACAGAGAAAGAAGACUGUGGGCAGGUAGUUUAUGAAUCGGGCAUGUUCCAGAAGAAGUAAAGUGCCGGUGCCAAGGAGGAUGGCCGCGCCUUGCAGACAUUGAGGAGCGAGCAGCAGUGACUGACCAGGUCGCUGCCCCCUGGUUUGGAGUGGGAUGGGUCCACGGGGACAGCAAAAGAAGACUUGCCCUUUCAUCCAUGCUUCCUGAGAGUCACCUAGGCACUGGCCCAUUUAGCAGAUGGAGAAAGUAAGAGAUCCUAACACAUUCAAGGAAAGGUCAGCUCUGACACCUGAACCAUGACUGCAGCCUGAGAAGACCAGUGGACCCGUCUGGGGAAUGUUGGGGCACAUCCCACUCCUGAGAUGCAGAGUUCUCGGGGAGGAAUUAAGGAAGAAACGGGGGCAAUAAGCAUAGUUUGCUGACUUUGGAAGCCUGACUGGGAAAAACACAAAGUAAAGAGGACAGUGGGCAGAGGGGACAAGAGAGGACGAGAGACCUUUCUAAGACAGGCCAGGCCUGCUCAGGUGAUGUUUUCAUCGGAUCAUCUUGGCUUCUGAGUUGCAACUUGAGGGAGCAGUGGGACCAGAGA